AUGACAAGCACUUUGAAAAGAGGGUGAAAAGAGCCUGAAACCGUCACGGGGGAAGCGGAUUGCGUUGGAUUGAGCGGGUCGGGGUGUGUUCAGCCGCAAGGUGCAUUGGCAGCCCGGCCCAUCUGUCGUGGGUUUCAGACGGUCGAAAAACAAUGGGCCGUUUGGGGCUGAGGGAUCCCUUUUACAGGUGAGGACGAUAGAGUAACGACGCGAUACGACCCGUCUUGAAACACGGACCAAGGAGUCUAGCGCGGGUGCGAGUCAAAGGGUGCAAGCCCGUGGGCGAAGUGAAAGCGAGUGUAAAAACGAGCAGUUUGGGGCGGCAUUGGAUCGUUGAUCCAAAGUCCGACCUUGAGCAGUUGCGCUGGGACCCGAAAGAUGGUGAACUAUGCCGGAGUAGGGCAAAGCCAGAGGAAACUCUGGUGGAGGCUCGUAGCGGUGCUGACGUGCAAAUCGCUCGUCCGACUUGGGUAUAGGGGCGAAGACUAAUCGAACUAUCUA
rnacentral:rRNA from 1 species